GCGUGGGGAGCAAACAGGAUUAGAUACCCUGGUAGUCCACGCCCUAAACGAUGCGCAUUAGACCGGUGCAGGUCUGACCCUGUAUUGGUCGUAGAGAAAUUGAUAAAUGCGCCGCCUGGGGAGUACGGUCGCAAGGCUAAAACUCAAAGGAAUUGACGGGGGCUCACACAAGCGGUGGAGCAUGUUGCUUAAUUCGAAGCAACGCGAAGAACCUUACCUGGGUUUGACAUGCACGGAUUAGUUCUUGGAAACAGGGAUGACACCCGCAAGGGUGGAACGUGCACAGGUGCUGCAUGGCUGUCGUCAGCUCGUGCUGUGAAGUGUCGGGUUAAGUCCUCUAACGAGCGCAACCCCUGUCGCUAGUUGCUAACGGGUAAUGCCGAGGACUCUAGCGAGACUGCCGGCGUAAGUCGGAGGAAGGCGGGGAUGACGUCAAGUCCUCAUGGCCCUUACAUCCAGGGUUGCAAACGUGCUACAAUGGUGCGUACAGAGCGACGCGAGGCCGCAAGGCGGAGCAAAUCGCAAAAAACGCACCCCAGUUCGGAUUGCAGGCUGCAACCCGCCUGCAUGAAGUCGGAAUCGCUAGUAAUCGGAGAUCAGCUACGCUCCGGUGAAUACGUUCCUGAGCCUUGUACACACCGCCCGUCAAGUCAUGGGAGCCGGUAGCGCCCGAAGCCGCCACAAUACUGUGGUGUCUACGGCAAGAUCGGUGACUGGGACUAAGUCGUAACAAGGUAGCCGUAGGAGAACCUGCGGCUG
rnacentral:rRNA from 1 species